GACGAACGCUGGCGGCGUGCUUAACACAUGCAAGUCGAACGGAAAGGCCCUGCUUGCAGGGUACUCGAGUGGCGAACGGGUGAGUAACACGUGGGUGAUCUGCCCUGCACUUCGGGAUAAGCCUGGGAAACUGGGUCUAAUACCGGAUAGGAGCCAUUUUUAGUGUGAUGGUUGGAAAGUUUUUUCGGUGUAGGAUGAGCUCGCGGCCUAUCAGCUUGUUGGUGGGGUAAUGGCCUACCAAGGCGGCGACGGGUAGCCGGCCUGAGAGGGUGGACGGCCACAUUGGGACUGAGAUACGGCCCAGACUCCUACGGGAGGCAGCAGUGGGGAAUAUUGCACAAUGGGCGCAAGCCUGAUGCAGCGACGCCGCGUGGGGGAUGACGGCCUUCGGGUUGUAAACUCCUUUCGCUAGGGACGAAGCUUUUUGUGACGGUACCUAGAUAAGAAGCACCGGCUAACUACAUG
rnacentral:rRNA from 1 species